rnacentral:rRNA from 1 species
GCAGCCACUCAUUCAAAGAGUGCGUAAUAGCUCACUGGUCGAGUGAUCCUGCGCCGAAGAUUUCCGGGGCUAAAACUUACUACCGAAGCUACGGCAUCAGUAAUGAUGGGUAGGGGAGCUUCCCAUACGGGUUGAAGCAUGACCGUAAGGACAUGUGGACAGUAUGGGAGUGAGAAUGUUGGCAUGAGUAGCGAGAUGUGGGUGGGAAUCCCACAGGCCGUAAACCCAAGGUUUCCAGGGGAAGGUUCGUCCGCCCUGGGUUAGUCGGGACCUAAGCUGAGGCCGAAAGGCGUAGGUGAUGGACAACAGGUUGAUAUUCCUGUACUACCGAU